rnacentral:rRNA from 1 species
CCUACGAGAGGCAGCAGUGAGGAAUAUUGGUCAAUGGCCGAGAGGCUGAACCAGCCAAGUCGCGUGAGGGAAGACUGCCCUACGGGUUGUAAACCUCUUUUGUCGGGGAGCAAAGCGAGUCACGUGUGACUCUUUGAGAGUACCCGAAGAAAAAGCAUCGGCUAACUCCGUGCCAGCAGCCGCGGUAAUACGGAGGAUGCGAGCGUUAUCCGGAUUUAUUGGGUUUAAAGGGUGCGCAGGCGGAGGUGCAAGUCAGCGGUCAAAUUGCGGGGCUCAACCCCGUACUGCCGUUGAAACUGCAUCCCUUGAGUGCGCGAGAAGUAUGCGGAAUGCGUGGUGUAGCGGUGAAAUGCAUAGAUAUCACGCAGAACUCCGAUUGCGAAGGCAGCAUACCGGCGCGCAACUGACGCUCAUGCACGAAAGCGUGGGUAUCGAACAGGAUUAGAUACCCGAGUAGUC